CUUUCAGCAACGGAUCUCUUGGCUCUCGCAUCGAUGAAGAACGCAGCGAAAUGCGAUAAGUAAUGUGAAUUGCAGAAUUCAGUGAAUCAUCGAAUCUUUGAACGCACCUUGCGCUCCUUGGUAUUCCGAGGAGCAUGCCUGUUUGAGUGUCAUGAAA
rnacentral:rRNA from 1 species